rnacentral:rRNA from 1 species
UACGUAGGGUGCGAGCAUUGUCCGGAAUUAUUGGGCGUAAAGAGCUCGUAGGCGGCUUGUCGCGUCGGAUGUGAAAGCCCGGGGCUUAACCCCGGGUCUGCAUUCGAUACGGGCAGGCUAGAGUUCGGUAGGGGAGAUCGGAAUUCCUGGUGUAGCGGUGAAAUGCGCAGAUAUCAGGAGGAACACCGGUGGCGAAGGCGGAUCUCUGGGCCGAUACUGACGCUGAGGAGCGAAAGCCAGGGGAGCAAACGGG